AUGGAGAUAUUCCGUUCUCGACAUCUAGGCUCAAACAGCUUGAGGAAUUGACAUUGAAGAACAAUCAGUUAACAGGGCGCCUAUCCCUUCAACCCUUUCACAAAUGCCAAAUCUCAAAACUCUGUAAGGUUGUUGUCACUUAUAUUUGAGGUGCUUGUUCUAUUUUGUGGUUUAUGCUUUCUAAUAUCUACUUGAAAACAUUAAAUUGUUUUUUUGUUUUACUUCUCAUUUGGGUUUUCUCAGUUACACAUUUGAAUUGGGGGUUUGUCUGAUAGAACAUACCUGAACUACAAUUGUUUGUUUCCAAUGGUGUGGAUUUGUGUGUACAAAGUGAUUUUAUUGGGUCCCUUGCUGUUUAAUUUUUUUUAGGGAUCUUGCUCAGAAUCAGCUCACUGGUGACAUUCCGAGGCUGAUUUACUAGAAUGAAGUAUUGCAGUAUCUGUGAGUACUUCCUCCACUAUGUACUCCAUGUAAAUCGUAAUUUAUAAGUCUAUCUCAAAUUAGUUCUAGUUCAUCUAGUAAUUUGGUAUGUUUUGGAGUUGCCCAUUAUUGUGACCACACUAUGGGUUGUGUUUUGUAAGGGUUGUGUUAUGUAAUGUGAUGGCCACUUUGAUUCUUGUUACGUAACAUGGACAUUGACUGUUAUGACUUCCAGCAUUCCUUUUGGUGUGGGUGUUGUUCU